GCAAACACUCCUAGAGGAGCGGAAUCUGUCUUGACGUUGCCAAAUGGAGGGAUGAACUGUGACCCUGGCCUGCUCUGUUAGAAGCAGCAUCAUGCUGGUUGUCCAAACAUAAUGACUGGCACGAGAGGAGCCUUCUUCCUCCUCAGUGCCCAGCCUGAGGAGUAUGAAAUCUAGAAAGCCACAGCUUGUGUCCGGAGAGCAGGUUCAGCCGGUUUGCCAGCUCAAAGCUGCCACCUGGAACUCACAAGCUGUUGCCCGAGGCACCUGCAGAGCUGGACCUGGAGCCCGGGCCCCCCAGGGGCUGCUCUGCAGAAGCCCAGGGAGCAGCUUUUUACCCAGAAAACAAACCCAAACCAGUGCUAACAAAGGGAGGCUCCCUCGAACACACACGCCCUUCUGGAUAAGACAGCCCACAGGACUCCAGGGGCUUCUGAGGGCCCAAGGCCUCUGCUGGGGAGAACAGGACGCAGCAGGUGCAGACCAGCAGCCAUGGGGCCGCCUCUGCAGAGUGUUCCUGCCAUGAUGUGCUGUGUUACACGAGAACAAAGCAAAGAGGCCAAGUGACUGGGAAUGUAAGGUUCUAAAACUGAGCCAAAAGAAACCUUUCCUCUUUAUAAGUUGUUUGUCUCAAGCAUUUGUCACAGCAAUGUAAAGUUGAUGAACAUACACAGAAAGCAAAGCAUGGAUAAAGGAGGAGGCUGCCAAACUCUUAAUCUAAUACAAAAGCAAUACUGUUAACUUCCAAUAGCAGAGGCUUAGAAACAUGCCCUCCUUCCCCACUGGGCUUCCUACCUGGACCCAGGCUGCUUUGUCACAGAGCUUCUCCUUUCAACCCCAAACAAACACAGCUCAAACAAAGCUCCAGCCCAGGCCAGGCAUGGUGGUGCAUGCUCAUGAUCCUAGCACUCAGAAGGCUGAGGCAGGAGGAUCACCAUGAGUUUAGGGCCAGCCUGGGCUACAUACUGUAGUGAAUUUAAGGCCAGCCUGGAAUACAUAGUGAGAUCCUGUCUCAAAACAACAAAAAAAUCAAACUCUAAUAUACAUUCAAAACACUCACAGCUGGUACAUCUGCAACUCAGUGCAUUUUCUCACAGUGAACACACCCUCCAAUCAGUAUCCAGAGGGAAGACAACAGGACCAGCACCUCCAGAAGUCUCCCUUGUGCCCGGUCAGUUCCUCCCCCCCUAUGUCCAUUUCUCCUGGACCUUGGCUUCUUGGCCUUGGUCCUUACUCAGCAGGAUGGGGAGACAAGCAGGCUUCCUCAGAAGGGGGUGUGAGAUUGCCUUACCCCUCCGCAGGGUAGGUGGAGAUUGCACUUUAGUGUCACCAUGGCUGUGUUCAAAGGCCACAGUGCUCUCUUCAGGGACAGACCAUUCAUUGCACAUGUUACUCCUCUUGCCAUUUAAAACAGGGUUGGUGCUGGGCUCAGUAGCACGGAGGCUGAGGCAGGAGGAUGGCGAAUUUGAGGCCAGUUUGGGAAAUUUAGUAAGACCCUGUCUCAAAAUUAAAAAUUAAAAGGGCUGGGGUUGCAGCUUAGUGGUAGAGAACCUCUGGAUUCAAACCUUGCACUAAAAAAGAAUAACAACAAAAGGACUGAUAAUGCCUUCCCCAUGGGAUAGCCAGGAGGGCCACUGAGUUAGGAGGUGAAGAGAAAUGACUCACAUGCCGUCAGCAGCUGCCCUGUGUAACGAACGUCUCAGCUACGGAUAUUAUAGACUCCUUAGCGAUCAAGGAGGGACUGAAGACUGGAGUCUAGAUGCCACCUUCUGGGUCCAUCAGAGAACCUUGUUCGUUGGCUCUGCUGCCUUCCAGAGUUCAGAGUCCUUGCACCCUCCCCAUAGCCUGACCUGCCACCUUGGAUCUGUCUUCUCAGCCUCCUCUGCCCACCUGAUGCAUCUUUGGAAGGCAAUGUUGUAAUGUCUGAAAAAAUUCCCCGCAAGUGUGCUUCUUGAAGCAGAAACCAUGAUCUUAGAAACCAGUCCUGAAAAAGGAUGGAGCCAUGAACACACGGACCUUGCUGGUGCUCUGGCACUCGCACAUCUGAGAAACCUUGUGUUCUUGAGGGCGAAUAAGUGCAACUCCACUGUGAGUGUUCGAAGCUCUCGAGGAAAUGAGGCAGUCACACCUAGGCUGGGUAAACAUUUCCUGUGAAGAGCCAGCCAGUAAAUAGCUACAGGACAAAACAAAUCUGUACUCGUUAUUUACUCGGCUGUCAGAUGACCAUAGACCUGGUGACUUAAAUUCUCAGAUCAUUUUCUUUGCUUCUGUGGGUGCGGCUCUUUCAGGGGUUGGCAGGAUUGGACUCCAUGUGGUUGGAGGAUUGAGGGUUCUGUUUCCUGCCACAUGGUCUCCUCCAGCUUCAAGCCCUCAGUGCUUCAAAUCUCUCUCCUUCCUCCUGUGCUUUUGCUUAUGGGUUUGAUUUUAUUUUGUUUUGAGACAGGGUCUUGCUUUGUAGUUCAGGUUGGCCUCAGCUUCUCCGUUGCUGGGAUUUCAGGUGUUCAAUACCACACCUGGCCCUCUUCUGUUUUUAAAGGCCCAUGUGAUCACAUUGGGCCCCCUCAGAUAAUCCAGGAUAACUUCCACAUGUUCAAGUCAAUGUACUUGAAUUGAUCUACAAAGUCCCUUUGGUCAUGUGUGAAAGUUGUCAAAAUCAAAAUGGAGUCACUUAUGUCAACCCUACCAAAAAGUAAAGCCAGGAGGUUAUGAGGGAAGGGUUCUUACACGUGACUGCUUGACAAUAAUUAUCACAGAAGACUGCCAGAACCCUAGUUUGUGGAGAUCACCACGGCCUUAGACAUGAAGUCCCUCCGCAAGGGUAUCUGCCCAGCAAUUGUCUGUUCAAUCUCAGAUGAAUGUCAGUAUCGAUCACAGUGAUGGAGAAUUAUUGUUUGAAAAUAUUUGAUGUCAUCCUCCCCAUUUUUGCUUUUUAAAACUUCCUUCUGGGCCAGGGAUUUAGCUCAGUGGUUCCACGGCCUACCUCGAAAGCACAAGGUCCCGAGUUGAAUCCCCGGUACCAAAAAAAACACAAACUUCCUUCUGCUUCAACCUCUUUGAAUAUGCUAAUGGAGUACUGUAGUGUGCAUAUUCCCAUUGCAGUGCUAUUUUCCAAAUAAAACUUGAUUUUUCCUUGAAUUUAA